CUUAGAAGCCAUCACAGCCAUGCCUACUAAUGGCAUGGCUGUGAUUGGCCAGUGCAGCAUGUGACCAAGCCUCUAUAUAUAAGCUGGAGUCGCGUAGUGCCGCACGCACAUGUGGUCUUAUUAGUGUAGGGAGAGGAUGCUGCCGCUGAUAGGGACAGCUUAGGAAAGAAUUCUGCAAACUAGUACAUUAGUGGGGUGGGGUGCACUUCAUAUCUGAGAGUCAAAUAGAAGCUUCAAAUACCGCAGUUACAUUGGAGUUUUAAAAAGUAAAUUUUUUUGGGUGCUAAAUAGUACAUUAGUGGGGUAGUACAUUAGUGGGGUGCACUUCAUAUCUGAGAGUCAAACAGAAGCGUCAAAUACUGCUCUCACAUUGCAGUUUUAAAACUUAAAAAUUUUU